UACAGAGGUCCCAAGCGUUGUUCGGAUUCACUGGGCGUAAAGAGCGUGUAGGCGGCUCGAUCAGUCUGCUGUGAAAGCCCAGGGCUCAACCCUGGGAUGCCGGUAGAUACUGUCGAGCUAGAGUCCGGAUGAGGCGAGUGGAAUUCCUGGUGUAGCGGUGAAAUGCGCAGAUAUCAGGAGGAACACCAAUGGCGAAGGCAGCUCGCUGGGACGGUACUGACGCUGAGACGCGAAAGCGUGGGGAGCAAACAGG
rnacentral:rRNA from 1 species